AUACUUACCUGGCAGGGGAAAUGUCACGAUCAUGCAGGUGGCUUUCCCAGGGCGAGGAGUGCUCAUUGCACUUGGGACACGCUGACCUCUGCGAUUUCCUCACAUGGAGGAAACUCGGCUGCAUAAUUUUUGAGUGGGGGACUGCGUGCGCGCUCUCCCCUG